ensembl:snoRNA
UGACGACAAUUUCUCCGGAAUCUCUGUAUUUAAUUGAUGAUACUUUUGAACCCCUUUUUCUGAUGACUGCAUUUCUCC